rnacentral:rRNA from 1 species
UACGGGGGGGGCAAGCGUUGUUCGGAAUUACUGGGCGUAAAGGGCUCGUAGGCGGCCAACUAAGUCGGACGUGAAAUCCCUCGGCUUAACCGGGGAACUGCGUCCGAUACUGGAUGGCUUGAGUUUGGGAGAGGGAUGCGGAAUUCCAGGUGUAGCGGUGAAAUGCGUAGAUAUCUGGAGGAACACCGGUGGCGAAGGCGGCAUCCUGGACCAACACUAACGCUGAUGAGCGAAAGCCAGGGGAGCAAACGGG